UCUCGGGUAGUAUAGUGGCGAGUAUCCCCGCCUGUCACGCGGGAGACCGGGGUUCAAUUCCCCGCUCGAGAG
rnacentral:tRNA from 1 species